rnacentral:pre_miRNA from 1 species
AGUGCAAUAACUGGGUCAAAUGAUGGUUCUAAUCCUAGUUUUUAGAGGAAUCUCCAUAUUGCUUUCCAGAGUGGUUACAUCAAUUUGCAGUCCCACCAACAAU